GAUGAACGCUGGCGGCGUGCCUAAUACAUGCAAGUCGAGCGAACAGACGAGGAGCUUGCUCCUCUGACGUUAGCGGCGGACGGGUGAGUAACACGUGGAUAACCUACCUAUAAGACUGGGAUAACUUCGGGAAACCGGAGCUAAUACCGGAUAAUAUAUUGAACCGCAUGGUUCAAUAGUGAAAGACGGUUUUGCUGUCACUUAUAGAUGGAUCCGCGCCGCAUUAGCUAGUUGGUAAGGUAACGGCUUACCAAGGCGACGAUGCGUAGCCGACCUGAGAGGGGGAGCGGCCAACCUGGAACGGAGACACGGCCCAGACCCCUACGGGAGGCAGCGGUAGGGAAUUUUCCGCAAUGGGCGAAAGCCUGACGGAGCAACCCCGCGGGGGUGAUGAAGGUCUUCGGAUCGUAAAACUUUUUUAUUGGGGAAAAAAAAAUGUGUAAGUAACUUUGCACGUCUUGACGGUACCUAAUCAAAAAGCCACGGCUAACUACGU
rnacentral:rRNA from 1 species